rnacentral:rRNA from 1 species
CAGUGGGGAAUUUUCCGCAAUGGGCGAAAGCCUGACGGAGCAAUGCCGCGUGGAGGUGGAAGGCCUACGGGUCGUCAACUUCUUUUCUCGGAGAAGAAACAAUGACGGUGUCUGAGGAAUAAGCAUCGGCUAACUCUGUGCCAG